GAGCUAGAUAGGUGCCUACAGCAGAGGUAGUGCGUGGGGGGCGAGCGUUAAUCGGAAAUAUGGGGCGUAAGUCGGGCGAUGGGGGUUAUGUAAGACAGAGGUGAAGUCCCCGGGCUCAACCUGGGAACUGCAUUUGUGACUGCAUGGCAAGAGUACGGUAGAGGGGGAUGGAAUUCCGCGGGUAGCAGUGAAAUGCGUAGAUAUGCGGAGGAACACCGAUGGCGAAGGCAAUCCCCUGGACCUGUACUGACGCUCAUGCACGAAAGCGUGGGGAGCAAACAGGAUUAGAUACCCGUAGUC
rnacentral:rRNA from 1 species